rnacentral:rRNA from 1 species
UACGUAGGUGGCAAGCGUUGUCCGGAAUUAUUUGGGCGUAAAGCGCGCGCAGGCGGUCCUUUAAGUCUGAUGUGAAAGCCCACGGCUCAACCGUGGAGGGUCAUUGGAAACUGGGGGACUUGAGUACAGAAGAGAAGAGUGGAAUUCCACGUGUAGCGGUGAAAUGCGUAGAGAUGUGGAGGAACACCAGUGGCGAAGGCGACUCUUUGGUCUGUAACUGACGCUGAGGCGCGAAAGCGUGGGGAGCAAACAGG